CCGGAUCCGUGUGUGCAGGGGGAGUCGCGUGCUGCAAGUUAAGGGUCCCAGCAACUCUGUCGAUGCGGAGGUCACGGCCGCCACCGCCGACCCCGGCGAGGGCACCAGCGCGAGCGGGCCGCCGGCGAUGGACAUUGAGGAGAGCUGGCUCGUUAUCGACGAUGCAGUCGACCACCUGCUGCACCGCGCUGGCGAGCACGGAGCUGUGUUUCAGCCAUCCCCAGUGGCCAGUACCCAUGGCCGCAAGUUCGAG